rnacentral:rRNA from 1 species
AGACGUCUACAUUAGAUACCCGGGUAGUCCCAGCCGUAAACUAUGCGCGUUAGGUGUAUCGGUGACCACGAGUUACCGAGGUGCCGAAGGGAACCGUGAAACGUGCCGCCGUGGGAAGUACGGUCGCAAGGCUGAAACUUAAAGGAAUUGGCGGGGAGCACCACAACAGGUGGAGCCUGCGGUUUAAUUGGACUCAACGCCGGGAAGCUCACCGGAUAGGACAGCAGAAUGAUUGCCGGGCUGAAGACCCUGCAUGACUAGCUG